rnacentral:rRNA from 1 species
UACGUAGGGUGCAAGCGUUGUCCGGAAUUAUUGGGCGUAAAGAGCGCGCAGGCGGUUUGCCAAGUCAGAUGUGAAAGAGGCCGGCUUAACCGGCAAGGGUCAUUUGAAACUGACAGACUAGAGUGCAGCAGAGGAUAGCGGAAUUCCCGGUGUAGUGGUGAAAUGCGUAGAUAUCGGGAGGAACACCAGUGGCGAAGGCGGCUAUCUGGGCUGCAACUGACGCUGAGGCGCGAAGGCUAGGGUAGCAAACAGG